rnacentral:misc_RNA from 1 species
GUCGUAACAAGGUUUCCGUAGGUGAACCUGCGGAAGGAUCAUUACCACACCAAAAAAACUCCCACGUGAAUGUAUUCUGUAUGAGGUUUGUGCCUUGCCCUCCUUGGAGGACUUGUGCUAGCUGAAGGUGUUCCCUCGGGAAUAAACCGAUGUCUUUUAUUCAACCCAUAAACCAAUUUACUGAAAUAAAACUAGCAGACAGAAAUGUUUGCUUGCAACGACAUACAACUUUCAACAGUGGAUGUCUUGGCUCACA